GACAGAGGGGGCAAGCGUUGCUCGGAAUUACUGGGCGUAAAGGGCGCGUAGGCGGUCUUCUAAGUCUUGUGUGAAAUCCCUCGGCUCAACUGAGGAACUGCACGGGAUACUGGAAGACUUGAGUUCGGGAGAGGGAAGCGGAAUUCCGGGUGUAGCGGUGAAAUGCGUAGAGAUCCGGAGGAAGACCGGUGGCGAAGGCGGCCUGCUGGGCAGUUACUGACACUGAGGCGCGACAGCGUGGGGAGCAAACAGG
rnacentral:rRNA from 1 species